rnacentral:sRNA from 1 species
UCGUUGAUGAGCUGGGGGCAGAUGAAGUGGAUGUGGGCGUCGAGCCCGCCGGCGGUGAGGAUCUUGCCCUCGCCCGCGAUGACCUCCGUCGCCGCGCCCACGACCAUCGCGUCGGUGACACCGGCCAUCAGAUCGGGGUUGCCGGCCUUGCCGAUGCCGACGAUGCGGCCGUCGCGAAUGCCGACGUCGGCCUUCACGAUACCCCAGUGAUCGACGAUCACCGCGUUGGUGAUGACGAGAUCGAGCACGCCCUCGGCGCGGGUGGCCCGGGCGGACUGGCCCAUGCCGUCGCGA